GGCCAGUUAGCCAAGCGGUUAAGGCGAUUGAUUAGAAAUCAAUUGGGGUUCCCCCGCGUAGGUUCGAAUCCUGCACUGGUCG
rfam:Serendipita vermifera MAFF 305830 unplaced genomic scaffold scaffold_2, whole genome shotgun sequence.